AUCAUGGCUCAGGAUGAACGCUAGCGGCAGGCCUAAUACAUGCAAGUCGAACGGUGUCUUCGGACAUAGUGGCGCACGGGUGCGUAACACGUAUGCAACCUACCUUACAUUGGGGGAUAGCCCUUUCGAAAAGGGGAGAUUAAUACCGCAUAAGACAGUAGCUGGGCAUCCAGCAGCUGUUAAAGCAUUGCGGUAUAAGAUGGGCAUGCGUCCUAUUAGCUAGAUGGUGAGGUAACGGCUCACCAUGGCUACGAUAGGUAGGGGGCCUGAGAGGGUGGUCCCCCACACUGGUACUGAGACACGGACCAGACUCCUACGGGAGGCAGCAGUGAGGAAUAUUGGUCAAUGGGCGCAAGCCUGAACCAGCCAUGCCGCGUGCAGGAAGAAUGCCCUAUGGGUUGUAAACUGCUUUAUUUGGGAAUAAACCUCUUUACGUGUAGAGAGCUGAAGGUACCAAAUGAAUAAGCACCGGCUAACUCCGUG
rnacentral:rRNA from 1 species